AAGAAGACAACAUAUAUAAUAACAGAGUGUAUAGAGAUAAAUGUCAUAAAACAUCAGAGUAAUUAUUACAUAGCGGAAGACUUAUUACAAAAUAAAAUAAUAAAGAUAAAACGAACUAAGGAUCGUCGGCGCCAAUGUCAACUGGGAAACGCCACCUAGAUCAGAUCGAACUCCUCAGUGUUAGGCGGCUCCUCCUGAACCACCUGAUCUUCUCCUGUGGGGGGGGGGUGUGAGACAGCAAGAGUGAGCUCACACAUGAUCAUAGCUCAACAAGUUGUGGGGAACCAGUGGACAUAAACUCACAAAGGUGUGAGUUCAUGUGAUGUGUAAGGCUAAUCAAUGAUAGGGGUUAAAGCUGAGCAUUGCUUUUAAGUAGUUGGUCAAAAUUUUAUUAGCAAUUACUAAGUGUAAGUAAAUACCAAACCAUAAGUAAAGUAAUAGAACAAAAUUAAUAACAAUCCCAUGCAAUGCAAAUGACCAAAUUGAAUUUAAGUUCCAUAAUUUAAACAUCAGAGAGUCCUGAGCUGCUCAUGACCGCGAGCACGGCUAGUAUACCAGUUUUACACUCUGCAGAGGUUGUACCCUUUACCCACAAGUCAUGCUACCCAUCUGCCAAGGGGUCGCGAAUCCCAUACACCUCUACCUAGGAAGCGCGGCAGGGCAACACUAUGAGGCCUUUACAAAGUUCCACUAGCUUCCGAAAACCCGCUACAGUUUAUAGGAAGUUCCAAUGCAGGGUUCCUGGCUGACCGCCAUCGCAGCAAAAUCAACCAGGGACCUCCCUACACUGACCACUCCCCUACUGCCCUUGCCCCUUUCGGGUAAGGUAGUCUUCCACUAGCUUUCCUAAUUAGUCAGCCAAGGGCGUCCCAUUAAACCCUUAUGGUGGCACGUGGUUCUCAAGUUAAGCUCUAUGUUCCAAUUAACAUUAAUGAUCUCAACAUGAACAUAAACAGAAUAACAAGAAUAAUUGGAACAUAGAUAUAAUAAAUGAUUAUCCCAAAACCAUGUAUAGCAAUAGCAAACUACCCAAGUGAUUCAGGGGUAAACAAGGUAAUGAGAUAAACAAUCUAGGGUGACCUAUUGGGUCCCAUCAAAAUUAACCUAUGCAUGAGUGAAUGAUAAUUAGAGAACAUUAUUGGGUAAAAAGUGGUCAAGGGCACAACUUGCCUUCAAUGAGCUCCUGCUCAGCUACUUCAACCUGCUGCUCACCAGGAUCCUCAGCAACGGGCUCUUCUACUCGCCACAAUACAAACAAGCACAGUGCAUAUAGAGAAAUUAACAUUACAUCAAACAUAUAAACAAAAUACACAGUAAUAAUCUACACAUUAAAAUAAAAUCCUAGGAACAGGAAUCAUAAUUUUUGGAGUUAUAGAUUUUAAGAUAUGAAUUUCCAAAGGUUUUAUGUGCUUAAUAUAGGAUUAAGUGAGGGAUUAAUUUUCUUACUGUUUUCAUGACAAAAUAGAGACUCUAAGUGAUAGAGAAUAAAAUUACAAAAUUUUAGGAAUUGGAAUGGAUUAAUUUGGACCAAGUAUGGAUUUUCUAUGGAAUAAACAAGUUCUAGGAUUUAUUUUGUAUUAAAUAUCAAUUUCUAAAAUUAAAUAAUUGAAUUCUCAGAGCUAUUUACUGGGCGCACUAUUUUCAGAUAACGCAGGGGCCACGGGGUAAAUAGUUCUAGACACAGUGAACAUAGUCGCAGUACCACGGGUUGAUUCCAUAUUAACUGGGGGUUUCUUAAGUAAAAUUCCUAGGCCGAAUCGGUACAGGUCAAUCCCGACAGUCCGAUCCGAUACGGGAGAGCACGAUUACACCAAGUUCGCCCUUCAACCGGUACCUGGUGAUAACCACUGGAUCUGCAUCCGACGGUGCUGAUCACGCCAACACCCAUAAUCGCCCUGAUCCGUCAGAUCUUAUCACUACGGCCUAGAUUUGAUCAAGCGAAAUGGUAAGCGGCCCUCUAAUUGCCACCGUCCGUUAAUGAAUCAACAGCGCACGGUCAUCGCCCCCAUCCGUCAACCAGCACAGCCAGCGCCGCCAUGGUAGCGACGGACUUCUCGCCAGAGUAAUGCCCGCAAUCGAACGAGUGCGCCAAAUCUAAAGGGGGUAGGUGCAAUACGCAGGUGGGGACAAUGCGAACAACAAGAGGAGCACCACACCUUCGAUUCGGGUGCCGAGAUUCCUAGCGACAGUGGGGUGCGGCUCCAUGGCGGAGGAGACACGCCGACGAGCAAUUCACGGCGACGGGGAGCUCCUUCCUGGUCCGGGUGGCCAGAGCUCGAUCCAAGGGUUCCUGAUAAAGCCUCACGACUACUUUCGGGUCGCCAAUUUCAGGGGAGCACGGAUGUCCGCCGCAGCGGCGACUUGGGUGGCGCAGUGGCGACUUCUUUUCUGGGAGCUAAUUGGUGAAGUCGAGGGCAGGAGAGACGAGGGAAUCGCGACCUAAGCUGCCCUAUAACAGUCAGGCGAGUAAGUUGGGAUGCGGAUUCACGGGAUGGAGUUCCCCUGCAUGCGGGGGAAGCCGGUAGCCUCGCAGGUCUGGCCUUCGCGGAGGUGGGGGAUGACCCAUAGGCCCCACACGGUAGCGAGCGCACGAUGAUGGCGCCAGGGACCCACAUGGCAGCGAGCUAGAAACCGCGCCGUGUGUCACCGCGACCGACAGAAGGGUCCCACACGGUCGGUCAACCAGGGAGCUGGCGUGGGAGAGUUAAUCGGGCUGCGCGGCUAAGGGCACAGGAGUUGGGCCGAGCGGCCAGUUUAGGCCCAAACUACGCACAGUUCUGUUUUUUUCUUUUAUAUUUCCAUUUUCCCUAUUUUGUCUUCUUUUUAUUUUGAAUUCCAAUUUGAAUUUGAACUCUUUAUGAGUUUCACCUUUGAGUGAGAUGUACACAUUCCAGUACAUUUAUAGAAUUAACAUAUUUUAUUAUUUAUAUAUUUUAUACUCAUUUUCACUCACAUAAUAUUUCUCUUUUUCUCUUUUUUCUAAAUUCUUGAAUUUCCUUAGAUCUUAAAUUCUACUUUAGACUUGAUAUAUUUCUUUCCAUCUUAUUUUUAUAUUAUCACCAAAAUGCACACAAAAAUAAAAUCCAACAUGAUGCAUGUAUUAUUUUUGGGUGUCUUUUGUCAUCUAGUUAUUUGUUAUAUGUGGUGUUCUCAUGAAAUGAUAAACAUAGAUGACACAUAUAUGUAUGAAGGAAUAUGAUUUCUCUUUUUAUACUCUUAUUACAAAGUGGGUAUUACAAAUCCUACCCCCUUAAAAAUAAUCUCGCCCUCGAGAUUUAGGAAGAACGAGGGAAAAGAUGGGGAAAAUCUAUGCGAAGCUCUUCUUCUCUUUCCCAGGUCGCUUCAUCUUCUCUGUGAUGACUCCAUUGCACUUUGCACAUCUUUAUCACCUUGUUUCUUGUAACUCGAGUCAAGGUGUCAAGAAUCUUGAUAGGAUACUCCGUGUAAGUCAAAUCACCCUGAACACUGAGCUCUUCCAUUGGUAACUGUUCCUCAGGGACACGGAGACACUUCUUAAGUUGAGAUACGUGGAACACAUUAUGCAUAUUCGAUAAACUAUUAGGUAACUCGAGUUGGUAUGCCAUCUCCCCAACUCGCCUAAAGAUCAAGAAUGGUCCAAUAUAGCGAGGGGACAAUUUGCCCUUGACUUUAAAUCUCCUCAUUCCACGAAGUGGUGACACUUUGAGGUAUACAUAAUCUCCUUCCUCAAAUCCCAGUGGUCUUCGUCUAUUAUCAGCAUAACUCUUUUGCCUGGUUUGAGCCACUCUCAAAUUCUCUCGAAUUAUACGGACUUGUUCUUCUGCUUCUUGAAUCAGUUCAGGCCCAAAGAACUGUCUCUCUCCAGUCUGAUCCCAAAUACAAAGGAGUUCUGCACUUCCUCCCAUAUAAAGCUUCAAAAGGUGACAUCUUCAGACUGGUUUGAUAACUAUUAUUAUAUGAGAACUCAGCAUAAGGUAGACUUUUAUCCCAACUUCCUCCAUGUUGAAGAGCACAUGCUCUCAACAUGUCUUCCAAUACUUGAUUAGUUCUUUCGGUCUGUCCAUCGGUCUGAGGGUGAUAAGCCGUACUGAAAUUCAACUUUGUACUCAUAUUCUCAUGAAAGCUUCUCCAAAAUCUUGAGGUAAACUGUGAACCUCGAUCAGACACGAUCUUCUUUGGUACUCCAUGCAAACACACAAUCCGAGCCAUAUAUAACUCUGCUAGCUGAGAACCUUUAUAAGUAGUCUUCACAGGAAUAAAGUGAGCCACUUUAGUCAAUCUAUCCACAAUCACCCAUAUAGCAUCAUAUCCUUUCUGGGUGCGAGGCAAUCCAGUAAUAAAAAUCCAUACCAAUCUCUUCCCAUUUCCACUCGGGUAUCUUCAGUGGAUGCAAUAGUCCAGCUGGCCUCUGGUGUUCAGCCUUGACUCUUUGACAUACAUCGCACAUAGCCACAUGUGCAGCCACAUCUCUUUUCAAUCCAUACCACCAAUACUUCCGCUUCAAAUCCUGAUACAUCUUAGUACUACCAGGAUGAAUAGAGUAAUCCGAGUCAUGGGCCUCUUUCAAUAUAGUCUCUUGAAGGCUUUUAAUAUCAGGAACACACAUCCUGUCCUUGAACCAUAUAGUGCCCUGCUCAUCUUCCGUAAAUUCCGGAACUCGACCUUCAGUAAUCAGAUCCUUAAUCUCUUUUAUUUUAGCAUCACCAAUUUGUCCUUUGCGGAUUUCUUGCUCCAAAGUAGGUUCCACAUCAAUAGUGACUCCUUCAGUAUGAGCAACUAUCCCCAGGUUAAGUCUCCUGAAAUCCUCAACAAUCUCAUCGGGUAGCUGGGCAGCAAUAGCUGAAUGAACAUGCUCCUUGCGACUCAAGGCAUCUGCAACCAAAUUCGCCUUGCCCGGGUGAUAGUGAAUCUCCAAAUCAUAAUCCUUAAUAAGCUCCAACCAAAGGCGUUGCCUAAGGUUGAGAUCCUUCUGAGUGAAUAUAUACUUCAAACUCUUAUGAUCCGUAUAUACUUGACACUUGGUUCCCAUAAUGUAAUGUCUCCAAAUCUUAAGAGCAUGCACAACUGCUGCUAGUUCCAAGUCGUGAGUGGGGUAGUUCAAUUCAUGUUUCCGUAACUGACGAGAAGCAUAAGCAAUCACAUGCCCUUCCUGCAUGAGCACACAUCCUAAGCCUUGGCCACAUGCAUCGCAAUAGAUAUCAAAUCCUUUCUGUAGGUCUGGCAUAACCAAUACUGGUGGCGACAUCAACCUCUUCUUUAGUUGGUCAAAGCUAUCUUGGCACUUCUCGUCCCACUUAAAUUCUCUUCCUUUCUCCAAAAGUGAAGUCAUAGGCUUAGCAAUCUUAGAAAAUCCUUCAAUAAAUCUCCGAUAAUAUCCUGCUAGUCCUAAGAAACUCCGAAUCUCAGUAACUGUAGUGGGUACUCUCCACUCCAUUAUCUCCUUAACUUUAGCAGGAUCCACUGAUAUUCCUCCAUUAGAAAUAAUAUGACCAAGAAAUGGCACUUCGCCAAUCCAAAACUCGCAUUUACUGUACUUGGCGUAGAGUUGAUUAUCUCGCAACUUCCGUAGUACCAAUCACAGAUGUUCCUCAUGAUCACUAUCACUCUUGGAAUAAAUAAGAAUAUCGUCGAUGAACACUACGACGAAUCUGUCCACAUUAUGAACACCUUAUUCUUCAGGUCCAUAAAAUAGUUGGUGCAUUAGUUAAUCCAAACGACAUAACAGUGAACUCAUAUAAUCCAUAUCGAGUCGAGAAUGCUGUCUUGGGAUUAUCCGAUGGUCUAAUCUUCAUUUGAUGGUAACCCGAUCGGAGAUCAAUCUUCGAGAAUACCCUAGCAUCUCACAUCUGAUCAAAUAAAUCCUCAAUGCGGGGUAACGAGUACUUGUUCUUCACGAUAACAUCAUUAAGGGACAUAUAAUCCACACACAUCCGCUGUGAUCCGUCCUUCUUUUGUACAAACAGAACUGUUGCUCCCUAAGGUGAGGAACUCGGACGAAUGUAACCAGCCUCUUGUAAUUCUGUUAAUUGCUUCUUAAGUUCCUUUAGUUCUUCUACAGACCUCCUGUAUGGCCGUUUGAAAGUAGGGGUAGUCCCAGGUAAGGGAUCAAUGACAAACUCAACUUCCCUAUAUGGUGGCAUCCCUGGUAACUCUUCUGGAAAGACAUCCGAAAAAUCUCUAACCACACGGAUGUUGACACCAACAAACUUCCCAUCUACUAAGAAUGUCGCUACUCUGAUGGUGGUAGUUACUGCAACCUCAACUUCCAAUCUUUCUCCUUUGGAACUGGUGAGUUCUACGGGUCCCUUAGCACAGUGUAUAUACUACCUUUGCCUUUCUUAACCAUGACAUACCAAGGAUCACGUCUAUAGUGCUCUCUUCUAACACUAUAGGGGUAGCCCAUCGGGGUUAGAAAUACAAGGUAAGAAAAGAAGAAUUGUAGACAAGGCGAGUAAUUACGAGAAAUGUUACUGCGGGGGAUUUAUUAGCUAAGUAGGUUAGUGCGUUAUCUACUAAAGCUAAUACAUUACCUUAUGGUGGUACAUGCUAAGAUGUCCGUCUAUACUAUUUCAAUCAACCAAAGAAGCAAAUCAGGCAUUGAUCAUCAGAACAAUCAACCAACAUUUUUAAUAGAGAAAAUAAAUCUUUUUUUGUCUUAGGUCUCCUAUCUCUUAAAAAGAUCAUAGUGGUAGGAUUCCAAGGUGUGAAAUCCAUCUUGUCUUAGAGUAGAAAAGAUAAGAUUAACCAGAGUAGAGUAGCAGAAGGCGAGACAAGAUCAAGAUAAGUAUAGAGAGAAUCAGAGUAAGGUAAGUAUAGAAUGAAUCAGAAUAAGAUAAGCAGGUAAGGGUUUUGUCCAUUUCUAUCUAGGUUUCGUCCUAUAGUCAACAUUUCCUCUGAUACCACUUCUGUCACACCCGACUUUAAGGAACAAAGCCAAGUGCAUCUCAUACAUGCGCCAAGAAGACAACAUAUAUAAUAACAGAGUGUAUAGAGAUAAAUGUCAUAAAACAUCAGAGUAAUUAUUACAUAGCGGAAGACUUAUUACAAAAUAAAAUAAUAAAGAUAAAACGAACUAAGGAUCGUCGGCGCCAAUGUCAACUGGGAAACGCCACCUAGAUCAGAUCGAACUCCUCAGUGUUAGGCGGCUCCUCCUGAACCACCUGAUCUUCUCCUGUGGGGGGGGGGUGUGAGACAGCAAGAGUGAGCUCACACAUGAUCAUAGCUCAACAAGUUGUGGGGAACCAGUGGACAUAAACUCACAAAGGUGUGAGUUCAUGUGAUGUGUAAGGCUAAUCAAUGAUAGGGGUUAAAGCUGAGCAUUGCUUUUGAGUAGUUGGUCAAAAUUUUAUUAGCAAUUACUAAGUGUAAGUAAAUACCAAACCAUAAGUAAAGUAAUAGAACAAAAUUAAUAACAAUCCCAUGCAAUGCAAAUGACCAAAUUGAAUUUAAGUUCCAUAAUUUAAACAUCAGAGAGUCCUGAGCUGCUCAUGACCGCGAGCACGGCUAGUAUACCAGUUUUACACUCUGCAGAGGUUGUACCCUUUACCCACAAGUCAUGCUACCCAUCUGCCAAGGGGUCGCGAAUCCCAUACACCUCUACCUAGGAAGCGCGGCAGGGCAACACUACGAGGCCUUUACAAAGUUCCACUAGCUUCCGAAAACCCGCUACAGUUUAUAGGAAGUUCCAAUGCAGGGUUCCUGGCUGACCGCCAUCGCAGCAAAAUCAACCAGGGACCUCCUUACACUGACCACUCCCCUACUGCCCUUGCCCCUUUCGGGUAAGGUAGUCUUCCACUAGCUUUCCUAAUUAGUCAGCCAAGGGCGUCCCAUUAAACCCUUGUGGUGGCACGUGGUUCUCAAGUUAAGCUCUAUGUUCCAAUUAACAUUAAUGAUCUCAACAUGAACAUAAACAGAAUAACAAGAAUAAUUGGAACAUAGAUAUAAUAAAUGAUUAUCCCAAAACCAUGUAUAGCAAUAGCAAACUACCCAAGUGAUUCAGGGGUAAACAAGGUAAUGAGAUAAACAAUCUAGGGUGACCUAUUGGGUCCCAUCAAAAUUAACCUAUGCAUGAGUGAAUGAUAAUUAGAGAACAUUAUUGGGUAAAAAGUGGUCAAGGGCACAACUUGCCUUCAAUGAGCUCCUGCUCAGCUACUUCAACCUGCUGCUCACCAGGAUCCUC
rnacentral:lncRNA from 1 species